GCCCCGAGCGCAGGCGGCGGCGCACGGACGGUCAGGCCCCGCGGACAGGCUCCGCUCGGGCCCCGCCGAGGGCGCGCAGCUGCUCCCCUCCGGGGCGCGGGCAGGGGCGGGCGGGGGCGCCGAGCCCGGGAGACUCCGCGCCUUCUUGGGCUGUGAACCCGGCGGAGCGGCUUGGCGGAGCUGCAGGAGGCCGCCAGCUCUCCAAUCGUGUCCUUCUGGGGUCGUCCUGGCAACUCACCAACUGCAGUAAAUAUCGCGAAAGGAGUUUGUCUCUUUCUGGGAUCAGCAGGUCUCAGCUGAUCCGUUACGUUCACCAUGGGAAUCUAAGAAUUUAUCAUCUGAGUGAAGAGUUGCCUUCCUCCCAGGGCUUCUCCAAGUUUUUCUCGAAGGAUUCCACCGGCCAGACAGGGCUCUGGAAGCUCAGCCCUCAAGACUUGCCGCACGUGGGAGGCUGCUGGGAGACCGUUUUGAAAAUGCAAGCACACACAGCAACAAGGACGCAUCCCACAAAUGAAACGUUCCGCAAAAGAAGUCUGCCUCAAACGACUGUGCACAAUAGUGUUCCAUUUACAUCAAGUUUUAAAGGGGGCCAAGCCAAUCGAAGGUGUCAGAAGCCAGUGUAGGGGCUACGUGGAGGAAGGGGGACAAUGGAGAGGGGCAUACCCCUUGGGAGGGGGCGCAAGGGGGACUUCUGGGGGGCUGGGCAUACUCUGCACCUUGAUUUGGAUGCUGGCUACACGGGUGUGCUCAGCUUGUAAAAAUUCAUCAAGCUGUACAUUUAGGAUUUAUACACCUUUCUGUCUGCGUGCUGCACGUCGAUAAAAUGUUAACAAAAUAAAAAAUACAAUAAAUUAAAAAAUACAUAAACAGA